rnacentral:rRNA from 1 species
UAGAGUUUGAUCCUGGCUCAGAUUGAACGCUGGCGGCAGGCCUAACACAUGCAAGUCGAACGGUAGCACAGAGAGCUUGCUCUCGGGUGACGAGUGGCGGACGGGUGAGUAAUGUCUGGGAAACUGCCUGAUGGAGGGGGAUAACUACUGGAAACGGUAGCUAAUACCGCAUAACGUCGCAAGACCAAAGAGGGGGACCUUCGGGCCUCUUGCCAUCAGAUGUGCCCAGAUGGGAUUAGCUAGUAGGUGGGGUAACGGCUCACCUAGGCGACGAUCCCUAGCUGGUCUGAGAGGGUGACCAGCCACACUGGAACUGAGACACGGUCCAGACUCCUACGGGAGGCAGCAGUGGGAAUAUUGCACAAUGGGCGCAAGCCUGAUGCAGCCAUGCCGCGUGUAUGAAGAAGGCCUUCGGGUUGUAAAGUACUUUCAGCGGGGAGGAAGGUGUUGCGGUUAAUAACCGCAGCAAUUGACGUUACCCGCAGAAGAAGCACCGGCUAACUCCGUGCCAGCAGCCGCGGUAAUACGGAGGGUGCAAGCGUUAAUCGGAAUUACUGGGCGUAAAGCGCACGCAGGCGGUCUGUCAAGUCGGAUGUGAAAUCCCCGGGCUCAACCUGGGAACUGCAUUCGAAACUGGCAGGCUAGAGUCUUGUAGAGGGGGGUAGAAUUCCAGGUGUAGCGGUGAAAUGCGUAGAGAUCUGGAGGAAUACCGGUGGCGAAGGCGGCCCCCUGGACAAAGACUGACGCUCAGGUGCGAAAGCGUGGGGAGCAAACAGGAUUAGAUACCCUGGUAGUCCACGCCGUAAACGAUGUCGACUUGGAGGUUGUGCCCUUGAGGCGUGGCUUCCGGAGCUAACGCGUUAAGUCGACCGCCUGGGGAGUACGGCCGCAAGGUUAAAACUCAAAUGAAUUGACGGGGGCCCGCACAAGCGGUGGAGCAUGUGGUUUAAUUCGAUGCAACGCGAAGAACCUUACCUACUCUUGACAUCCAGAGAACUUUCCAGAGAUGGAUUGGUGCCUUCGGGAACUCUGAGACAGGUGCUGCAUGGCUGUCGUCAGCUCGUGUUGUGAAAUGUUGGGUUAAGUCCCGCAACGAGCGCAACCCUUAUCCUUUGUUGCCAGCGGUCCGGCCGGGAACUCAAAGGAGACUGCCAGUGAUAAACUGGAGGAAGGUGGGGAUGACGUCAAGUCAUCAUGGCCCUUACGAGUAGGGCUACACACGUGCUACAAUGGCGCAUACAAAGAGAAGCGAACUCGCGAGAGCAAGCGGACCUCAUAAAGUGCGUCGUAGUCCGGAUUGGAGUCUGCAACUCGACUCCAUGAAGUCGGAAUCGCUAGUAAUCGUAGAUCAGAAUGCUACGGUGAAUACGUUCCCGGGCCUUGUACACACCGCCCGUCACACCAUGGGAGUGGGUUGCAAAAGAAGUAGGUAGCUUAACCUUCGGGAGGGCGCUUACCACUUUGUGAUUCAUGACUGGGGUGAAGUCGUACAAGGUAACCUCAGUCAGUCA